AGGCUUUGAUCCUGGCUCAGGAUGAACGCUGGCGGCGUGCUUAACACAUGCAAGUCGAACGAACCUUCGGGUUAGUGGCGGACGGGUGAGUAACGCGUGAGAAUCUGCCCUCAGGAGGGGGAUAACGGCUGGAAACGGCCGCUAAUACCCCAUAUGCCGAGAGGUGAAAUGAGUUAUCGCCUGAGGAUGAGCUCGCGUCUGAUUAGCUAGUUGGUGGGGUAAGAGCUUACCAAGGCAUCGAUCAGUAGCUGGUCUGAGAGGAUGAUCAGCCACACUGGGACUGAGACACGGCCCAGACUCCUACGGGAGGCAGCAGUGGGGAAUUUUCCGCAAUGGGCGAAAGCCUGACGGAGCAACGCCGCGUGAGGGAUGAAGGCCUCUGGGCUGUAAACCUCUUUUAUCAAGGAAGAAGAUCUGACGGUACUUGAUGAAUAAGCCACGGCUAUAUCC
rnacentral:rRNA from 1 species